GGCGUUAUAGUGUAGUGGUUAUCACUCGAGGUUUUGAUCCUCGUAACCCCAGUUCGAACCUGGGUAACGCCU
rnacentral:tRNA from 1 species